UAGAGUUUGAUCCUGGCUCAGGAUGAACGCUGGCGGCGUGCCUAAUACAUGCAAGUCGAGCGGUAAGGCUCCUUCGGGAGUACACGAGCGGCGGACGGCUGAGUAACACGUAGGAACAUACCCCAAAAUGAGGGAUAACUACUCGAAAGAGUAGCUAAUACCGCAUGUGAGCUUCGGAUUAAAGCUACCGCGGUUUGGGAAUGGCCUGAGUAAGAUUAGCUUGUUGGUAAGGGAACUGCUUAAUCCAGCGAUGAUCUUUAGCUGGUCUGAGAGGAUGAUCGCCAGACUGGGACUGAGAACCGCCCAGACUCCUACGGNAGGCAGCAGUNAGAGAUUUUCNCCAGGNGNAGGGCCCUGGAGGAGCACCCGCCGGCAUGGAUGGUGGNUGCGAGGAUAGGCC
rnacentral:rRNA from 1 species